UGAAAUAAUCAAUCAUAAAACGCAGUGAC
rnacentral:sRNA from 1 species